rnacentral:rRNA from 1 species
GCCUUCCAUGAAGCUGGAAUUGCUAGUAAUGGCAGGUCAGCAUACUGCCGUGAAUACGUUCCCGGGCCUUGUACACACCGCCCGUCACACCAUGAGAGUUGGAAAUACCCGAAGCCUGUGAGCUAACUUAAAGAGGCAGCAGUCGAAGGUAGAGCCAAUGAUUGGGGUGAAGUCGUAACAAGGUAAC